AAGUUGUGUUUUCUCUUAUUCUGAACUAUGUGCGUUUAAGGUAUUUGAUUUUCUCUCAUUGUGUGAGCAUUGUAUGCUCAAAGGAGGAAGUUGUACUGGAAAAAUACAACUAAGACUAUGCAUGAAGUGGGAAGUUGUUUUAAAAACGUUAAAGGUGCUAAUCAGCUGAAAGCACAGUCUAAUUUGUUUCCUGUUUGUUUCCUUAGUAUUUGACACUGUUUGUCAUUUUAACACCAAGAACUUGGGUCACAGGAGAGAAAGUUGCGCUUUGGUCAAAGCAGCAGCAAACAGAGUGUAUGAUCUAUUUGUGACGGGUGACAGCCUCUUCCUUUACAGCCUGUGUAUAUUGUCUUUUCUGGACAUUAUAUAAGGAACUCAGUGUCAGCAGGUUGCAGCUUCAGAGAAUUUCCUUCACUGAAGACAUUUUAACCAACUGGUGCCGACAAUCUCCUGCCUGGACCACAGCCGGUGAAUCAACCAACCAACAAACCAACAAACCACUCAUCAGUGAACCAUGAAG